ACAGACUUCGAUGAAAUUCAAGGCGUCAUUUAGUGUACUAUAUGUCAUAUUUGUCUUAUCUCUCAAUCUUGUGAGCCGUGAUUUUCAAGCUGCCAUGUAUGCCAUUGUGUCUUGUAUAAUGAUUCUUCUUAUUAUUUUUGAAUGGAAUAAUUAUUCUUAUUGAGGCACUGCCGCUGCCUAAUUUGCUUACAGAAAUAACAUACUAAUUAAUACAGGGAGAGAGUACAAUUUUUUGACACAAUUUGCAGUACCUGUCAGCCUGCCCAUAGGUACUGUAGCUUCCAUUCUUGUUUUCUCUCAUUGAAAUUAUGGAUUUGGAAACUAAUCAUGGAGUGUCUAGAUUGCCUGCUAUAUUACCAAGUGCGUUGAAGGAAAAGCUGCUGCCACUAUUGAUGACCACUCUAGGUGAUAUAAUUCAUGUUUGCUUUGUUGUUUCAGCAGCUUCCUGUAGCAUAUUGGUUCCAUCUUUUUUUUGCAUCAUGGUACAUUAUUCUCAUCUUGAUAUAUAUCAUUUGGUCAACUGAAGAUUUGAGUGCAGGGUAGAAUUCUUGGUUGAUUUUAGAAUUUCGUUGUUGAUUAGUUGGCCAACAGACUUCGAUGAAAUUCAAGGCGUCAUUUAGUGUACUAUAUGUCAUAUUUGUCUUAUCUCUCAAUCUUGUGAGCCGUGAUUUUCAAGCUGCCAUGUAUGCCAUUGUGUCUUGUAUAAUGAUUCUUCUUAUUAUUUUUGAAUGGAAUAAUUAUUCUUAUUGAGGCACUGCCGCUGCCUAAUUUGCUUACAGAAAUAACAUACUAAUUAAUACAGGGAGAGAGUACAAUUUUUUGACACAAUUUGCAGUACCUGUCAGCCUGCCCAUAGUUCCAUCGCACUACGAGGAUGAUCCAUGGCUGGUCACGGACGAUCACCUGCGAGGACGAUUCAUGGCCGGUUGGGGAUGGUCAGUUCCAUCACACUGCGAGGAGAUGAUUCAUGGCCGGUCGAGGAUGGUCACCUGCGCCCGAAGGCCAACCUUAAUACUGGACCUCGAGAGGAGCAUGUGGCCAACCAUGCCGGAGGACGCAGAGGAGUUGUUUGGGAAUGUUAUCAUCAGAGGACCCAAGAAGCAGCCCACCAUGGAUGCAUGGACCAACCACGGAAGUCUAUUCUUGCAAUCCAUCUAUGGCGAGGGUUCAUGACAUACAAGCCAAUAGAUUUGGGGGUCCACUUCCCGGUGAAACAAAUGUUCAUUGCAGACAAUACGAAGAUGAUGAUUGGUACAAUGCGGUGAAUAUAUUAGAAUUUUUAUUCUUCUCUCUCCAUGUCUAUGUUUGUGCUUGAUCAACUGUCCACGCAAUGAUUUUAGUUGUACAAAGUCCUAAGCUGGUCUCACUAGGUCGUACCCAGUGGCGGAGACAGGGGGACCAGCAGGGACCUGGCCCCCCCUAACACCAUGAUUUUGCAUGUAAUUUGCUAUGAACAGUGGCAAAAUUAGUACUAAUUUGCUGCUAAAAAUCUAUUUUUCAACACUUUGGCCCUCCCCAACCUGUUUUAGUAGCACUUGGCCUCCCUUAUAGAUAUGUUCUGGCUCUGCCACUGGUUCGUACUCA